rnacentral:rRNA from 1 species
UGGGGAAUAUUGCGCAAUGGGCGAAAGCCUGACGCAGCAACGCCGCGUGAGUGAUGAAGGCCUUCGGGUCGUAAAGCUCUGUCGGAGGGAACGAAUGCUCCUGAAGUUAACAGCCUCAGGAGGUGACGGUACCCUCAAAGGAAGCACCGGCUAACUCUGUGCCAGCAGCCGCGGUAAUACAGAGGGUGCAAGCGUUGUUCGGAAUCAUUGGGCGUAAAGCGUGCGUAGGCGGCCUGCCAAGUCAGAUGUGAAAGCCCUGGGCUCAACCUGGGAACGGCAUUUGAAACUGGCAGGCUCGAGUUGGGUAGAGGCAGGCGGAAUUCCGGGUGUAGCGGUGAAAUGCGUAGAUAUCCGGAGGAACACCAGUGGCGAAGGCGGCCUGCUGGGCCCAAACUGACGCUGAGGCACGAAAGCGUGGGUAGCAAACAGGAUUAGAUACCCCUGUAGUCCCUGAGCGGGCUGGCAAGGCGCAU